rnacentral:lncRNA from 1 species
UGGCAAUCUAUAUGAAUAGUGAGUUGCUCGAUUUGGCCUAAUUCAUCAGAACUUUGGUAUGUAGUCCACUUCAUGUGUUUUUUCACCAUAUCAUUGAAGACAUAUGGUACACAGUAGCUGCAGCAGCCCAUGCAGUUUCCUUUUAACAAGGCGUCCAACUCUCACUUAUGAAGGCCUGCAGCUAGUUCAGGGAGACAUAUUGCCAUAGGAGAUCUACAUGUUCUCAUCAAUAAACUGCUGAUUCCUCUAAGUAUGCUGUAUGAUUCAGUGGCACAGAAGUAGACAAAGAAAUCUGUAUGAGUCCAAACUUGUCAACUGCGUGUGGUAGUGUUGGUGAGGAUUCGUCUUUCUAUAUAGAAGGUUAUGAGAACCAGUUACUACUAGAUCAUGUAUUUUAAACAAGAACCAAGGGUCCAUUCGGGGACAAUGGAAAUACAUUAUAAUGUGGUAGUUGAAGUUGGUGGGUAGGAGAUAAUUCGGACUCAUUGAUUAAAAAUGCAAAGCAAUAGAGCAGUUGAUGGCAUAUCCAAGUACCGCGGAAUAUCAUGAAUACCCAACUAUGGCAAUACUAUUGACAAUGUCGAAACAUGACAAACUAUUGGUCCAUUAGAACCAUUUAACAAUGUCGGCUCCUAACUUUUAUUUGUACAUGUGAGUGGCACGAACAAGUUGGUGUACGGAUGCCGGUGUGAAAGCCGACACAAGUAAUGCAACGUUUGUGCCACCACUUCUAUAUUUAGAACAGAUAGUCAUAGACCACUUUUGUUAUGUCACUUUUGUGAUGCAAAAAAGGCCUUUGAAACAGCUACAUAACCCAUC